CCUACGGGUGGCUGCAGUCGAGGAUCUUCGGCAAUGCGCGCAAGCGCGACCGAGCGACGCCGCGUGUGCGACGAAGGCCUUCGGGUUGUAAAGCACUGUCGAGGGGGAGGAAAGCCCGGAAGGGCUUGACCUAUCCCUGGAGGAAGCACGGGCUAAGUUCGUGCCAGCAGCCGCGGUAAGACGAACCGUGCGAACGUUGUUCGGAAUCACUGGGCUUAAAGGGCGCGUAGGCGGGCCGCCAGGCCCGCGGUGAAAUCCCCCGGCUCAACCGGGGAAGUGCCGCGGGGACCGGCGGCCUGGAGUGGGGUAGGGGUGCGCGGAACUGUGGGUGGAGCGGUGAAAUGCGUUGAUAUCCACAGGAACUCCGGUGGCGAAGGCGGCGCACUGGACCCUCACUGACGCUGAGGCGCGAAAGCCAGGGGAGCGAACGGGAUUAGAUA
rnacentral:rRNA from 1 species